CAGCUAAUUUUUGUAUUUUUAGUAGAGACGGGGUUUCGCCAUGUUGGCCAGACUGGUCUCAAACUCCUGACCUCAGUGUGAUCCGCCCGCCUCGGCCUCCCAAAGUGCUGGGAUUACAGGCGUGAGCCAUCAUGCCCAGCCUAUGCAGUUACAUAUUAAGCCUUUUCCACACUGAAGACAGAUGUGAGGCACCAGAGAUAGAUCCACUAGGAUCCCCAGAAAUUUAUUCUGGGUUUAAUAAGUGUGAGCUACAGAUAUAAUAUUAAGACAGUUUAUUUAUUCAUCCGGUUCACAUGGUCAUAGAUUUGAAAGGCACCACAGGUUAACAUUGUUUUAAGUUCUAAGUUCUUGGGGUACAAAGACAAAUAUCCAGAUAAUACCUGUCCUCAAGUUUAUCAUAUUUACAACAUGGGAGACAGACAUAAAAGCCGGUAAGCUGUAAUACAAUGUGAUACAUGCUAGAAGUAUAUACAAGAGAAUAUCUUCUAGGAAGUAUUUGAGUAUACUUAGAUUGAGAAGGAAACUUCCUCGGAUUGUCUCCAAACCUAUUAUCUAAAACAAAGGAAGGCAUGCCCCUGAAAUGGUUUCUAUCUCUGAACUUCCCAUUCCCACUCUCACCCUACCUGUAACCCAGGGUUUCUUAACCUCUGCACUAGUGACACUUUGGGCCAGAUAAUUCUUCACUGCGGUGGGCAGUCCUGUGCACUAUAGGAUGUUUAGCAGAAUCCCUGGCCUCUAGCCACCAAAUGCCAGUAGCACCCUUCUUACGUUACCCCCUCCAUGACAAUAAAAAACGUCUCCAGACAUUGUCAAAUGUCCUUUAAGGACAAAAUUACCCCAUUAAGAACCACUGCUUAACCUUUCUUGUCCCCUGAACCAAGGCCAGAGACCAGAAUGUGUGCUUUCCUUUAUCUUUCAUUCGUUUUCAUCCUCUUUCUUAUGGGGUAAACACAAGGUAUUGUGAAGAUUAAAAUUCCUACCCAGUGGGCACUGAGGCAUUAUGGAAAGGCUUUAUACCCAUAAAUGAAGUCUCCCUCACAAAUCUCAGAAGGCAUUAACACAUGAACUAAGGCUGACUCACUGUUUAGGGCAAGGGGAUUUUUAAGAUGCAAACUCAGGGCCAGGCGCGGUGGCUCACACCUAUAAUCCCAGCACUUUGGGAGGCUGAGGCGGGCGGAUCACGAGGUCAGGAGAUCGAGACCAUCCUGGCU
rnacentral:lncRNA from 1 species